rnacentral:tRNA from 1 species
GGGCGGGUGGCGGAACUGGAAUACGCGCAGGACUUAAAAUCCUGUGGCCGUAAGGUCAUGAGGGUUCAAGUCCCUCCCCGCCCA